UACGUAGGGUGCGAGCGUUAAUCGGAAUUACUGGGCGUAAAGGGCGCGUAGGCGGCGCGGUAAGCGUGCGGUGAAAGCCCGGGGCUCAACCCCGGGUCGGCCGUGCGGACUGCCGGGCUGGAGCACUGUAGAGGCAGGUGGAAUUCCGGGUGUAGCGGUGGAAUGCGUAGAGAUCCGGAAGAACACCGGUGGCGAAGGCGGCCUGCUGGGCAGUAGCUGACGCUGAAGCGCGACAGCGUGGGGAGCAAACAGG
rnacentral:rRNA from 1 species